rnacentral:rRNA from 1 species
GACGAACGCUGUCGGCGUGCUUAACACAUGCAAGUCGAACGGAAAGGCCCUGCUUUUGUGGGGUGCUCGAGUGGCGAACGGGUGAGUAACACGUGAGUAACCUGCCCUUGACUUUGGGAUAACUUCAGGAAACUGGGGCUAAUACCGGAUAGGAGCUCCUGCUGCAUGGUGGGGGUUGGAAAGUUUCGGCGGUUGGGGAUGGACUCGCGGCUUAUCAGCUUGUUGGUGGGGUAGUGGCUUACCAAGGCUUUGACGGGUAGCCGGCCUGAGAGGGUGAUCGGCCACAUUGGGACUGAGAUACGGCCCAGACUCCUACGGGAGGCAGCAGUGGGGAAUAUUGCACAAUGGGCGGAAGCCUGAUGCAGCAACGCCGCGUGCGGGAUGACGGCCUUCGGGUUGUAAACCGCUUUCGCCUGUGACGAAGCGUGAGUGACGGUAAUGGGUAAAGAAGCACCGGCUAACUACGUGCCAGCAGCCGCGGUGAUACGUAGGGUGCGAGCGUUGUCCGGAUUUAUUGGGCGUAAAGGGCUCGUAGGUGGUUGAUCGCGUCGGAAGUGUAAUCUUGGGGCUUAACCCUGAGCGUGCUUUCGAUACGGGUUGACUUGAGGAAGGUAGGGGAGAAUGGAAUUCCUGGUGGAGCGGUGGAAUGCGCAGAUAUCAGGAGGAACACCAGUGGCGAAGGCGGUUCUCUGGGCCUUUCCUGACGCUGAGGAGCGAAAGCGUGGGGAGCGAACAGGCUUAGAUACCCUGGUAGUCCACGCUGUAAACGGUGGGUACUAGGUGUGGGGUCCAUUCCACGGGUUCCGUGCCGUAGCUAACGCUUUAAGUACCCCGCCUGGGGAGUACGGCCGCAAGGCUAAAACUCAAAGGAAUUGACGGGGCCCCGCACAAGCGGCGGAGCAUGCGGAUUAAUUCGAUGCAACGCGUAGAACCUUACCUGGGUUUGACAUGGAUCGGGAGUGCUCAGAGAUGGGUGUGCCUCUUUUGGGGUCGGUUCACAGGUGGUGCAUGGCUGUCGUCAGCUCGUGUCGUGAGAUGUUGGGUUAAGUCCCGCAACGAGCGCAACCCUUGUUCACUGUUGCCAGCACGUUAUGGUGGGGACUCAGUGGAGACCGCCGGGGUCAACUCGGAGGAAGGUGGGGAUGACGUCAAGUCAUCAUGCCCCUUAUGUCCAGGGCUUCACGCAUGCUACAAUGGCUGGUACAGAGAGUGGCGAGCCUGUGAGGGUGAGCGAAUCUCGGAAAGCCGGUCUCAGUUCGGAUUGGGGUCUGCAACUCGACCUCAUGAAGUCGGAGUCGCUAGUAAUCGCAGAUCAGCAACGCUGCGGUGAAUACGUUCCCGGG